AUGACAGGUGCACGAUAAAUUGAAUUUUUAUCACUUUUUUUUUCUAUAUUUGCAAAAACACGAUAACACCACACUGCAAUAUUCAUAUUUUAUAUAGCGAAAAUUAUUAUGCAAUUUUAAGAUUUUUACUUCGCAAAUGACAUAAUUUUUUUGUGUAAAUGGGGUUCCACCGGCCGACCACCUGCGAACAGAUUGGAUACAAAAUUACAAGGGACACGAAUCAUGGUGUGGUUUGCCGGCUACACCGAAUGGUAAACAGUUAUUCACAGUGCAAGCUAUGGUGUAGGUACUGCCUAGUUUUGAAUGCAAUUUCGGCUGGAAAGACCGGAUUGUAUACAAUAUAAAAGACAAAUUAAGAUAUCAACGAGAGUAAAAAAAUUAAAUUAGCUCGAGCAAUGCGCAUUUCCUCAGCGGAAGAGUUGUCCGUCUGUGACCAUCGCAAUUCCCUACCGUUACGGACGAUUCAGUUUUCCGGAACGCACAACACUAGCCCAUUGUGCUGUGGAACGGGUGUGUGAGAACAAGAAAAAGGAUACACAAUUAUAGAAUUUUAUUAUCUAUGGAUAAUGGAAGAGAUCCGAGGUAUAAUGAUGAUUUGGAGCGAUUAGACUGAAUUAAUAAUAGAAAAAAAAAAAUAGAAGUUAUUAUUCAAUUAAGGAUAAAUUCUAUUUCUAAAUGAAGAUUGUUUUUAAUUCGUACGAUUUUUUUUUAUAUAAAAUUUAAGAGACGUUCAUCACCUCAAUUGUGAGUUGAUUUUAAUUUUUUUUUUUAAUUUAAGAAUUUUCUCCGUGUUGUGUAUAGAUGCUGUCAAAUUUGUAAUCGGUUUUAUGUAAAUUUAUUAUUAAAAAUUCAAGACAUAAAUGGAAGUAAACAAAAUAUAAUAUUAUGUCUAAAUUACUUAAAUUGGAUACUACAUAGGAAUAUGGUAUGUUCACGGCAUAGAAUGGGCCAUCCCUUACUUUCCUGUGAGUAGCAUAAGAGACGACUAAGAGAAUUAUAUGAUCGAAGGAUGCAGCAGCAUCCCUCUCAAAAUAUGUAUCAUCAAAGUUUUAAAUGCAAUUGCCAACUCCCCUGCCAAACGUGGGCAAAAGCCUCCUUAUGGGGAGGCCUAUGUUCAGCAGUGGACACAGUGGACAGUUAACAGCAGAUAUGAUGAUGGUGAUGAUGAUGAUACCUAACUAUAAUGAUAUAAAUAUAAUUAUAAAUAAGUUCUAUCUAGGCAACUACAUUUAUGUAAAUACCUUUAUAUACAGAUAUUAAUAUAUAAAUAAU